rnacentral:misc_RNA from 1 species
GAUGAAGAACGCAGCGAACGUGCGAAACGUAAUGUGAAUUGCAGAAUUCAGUGAAUCAUCGAAUCCUUGAACGCAUCUUGCGCUCCUUGGUAUUCCGAGGAGCAUGCCUGUUUGAGUGUCGUGAAUACUCUCAACUUCAACCCUUUUUUCGGAAAGGGAGGAAGGUUGGACUUGGGUGUUUGUUGAAGUGCGAGCUUCGACUCAUCCUAAAUGCAUUAGCGAUCUGCCUCGAUCACACACAAUGUGAUAAUUAAAACUAAAGCAUUGUUUAAUGAUCAAGUCGAGACUGCUUCUAACUGUCGCAAGACAAUAACGUGCAUACAUUUGUGCAUGUCAUUUGACCUCAAAUCAGGUAGGACUACCCGCUGAACUUAAGCAUAUCAAUAAGCGGAGGA